CCUACGGGUGGCAGCAGUGAGGAAUAUUGGUCAAUGGACGAGAGUCUGAACCAGCCAAGUAGCGUGAAGGAUGACGGCCCUAUGGGUUGUAAACUGCUUUUGUACAGGGAUAAAAGGAGGCACGUGUGCCUGUUUGCAUGUACCUUAUGAAUAAGGAUCGGCUAACUCCGUGCCAGCAGCCGCGGUAAUACGGAGGAUUCAAGCGUUAUCCGGAUUUAUUGGGUUUAAAGGGAGCGUAGAUGGUCGGUUAAGUCAGUGGUGAAAUUUUGAGGCUCAACUGCAAAAUUGCCAUUGAUACUGGUCGUCUUGAGUACAGUUGAGGUAGGCGGAAUGUGUGGUGUAGCGGUGAAAUGCUUAGAGAUCAUGAAGAACCCCGAUUGCGAAGGCAGCUUACUAAGCU
rnacentral:rRNA from 1 species